GACGUAGGGGGCAAGCGUUGCUCGGAAUGACUGGGCGUAAAGGGCGCGUAGGCGGAUGGCACAGUCAGAUGUGAAAUUCCUGGGCUUAACCUGGGGGCUGCAUUUGAUACGUGUGAUCUAGAGUGAGGAAGAGGGUUGUGGAAUUCCCAGUGUAGAGGUGAAAUUCGUAGAUAUCGAGAGGAACACCAGAGGCGAAAGCGAGUUACUGGACAGAAUCUGACGCUGCAGCACGAAAGCUAGGGGAGCAAACGGG
rnacentral:rRNA from 1 species